rnacentral:lncRNA from 1 species
GUUAAGCAGUAUGUACAACAACUCUAAUUUUGUAGGUAAUCAUUUAGUACAUCACAAGCUAUGUUCAGCUCUAGCUCUUGACCAGCAUAACGUUAUACACAAAAUCCAUUCAAUAGACUGGUAGAUCAAUGUCUUCAAAACCCGAAAGACCGGCUGGAGAAAAGUCAGUGGUUCCACUCAGGUACCUGCACGUGUCUGAAAACAAAAUGCACCGGUGCGCUCAUUACUUCUACUGGUAAUAAGAAGCUGUAAAGUCGCUUUUUUACUAAAAUUGGUUAGGUUUUACGGAAAAUCCAACAAAAAACAACAACAACAAUAUAUAUUAAUAAACAGAAUUUUGCGACUCAGUGAACCGUCACCUUAAAUGUGCGUCUCAACCUUCUACACAUAUGGAAUUGAGAUUUUGCUCACCUUUUGUUAAUUAAUCAACGGGCCAUUCAUGCACAUAUAGCUUGGGGCUAUGUUCAUUCACAAUUUGGUUCAUUUAGCGCGGGGGUUUCUCUGGUCUACAUGUAUAUGUCAAUACUUGACAAAUAGAAAAAAGGUUUGCACAGUUUUUUUUAUCUUUGUUUAUUUGUUCAUUAAGGUUUCUUUUCAUUUCAUUUAUUGUUCGUGUUGUCAAUUUCUUACCUUUUUUCUCUCUUUCUAUUAUAUAUGUAUUUUUCUUUCUGUUUUGAUGACUUUUCUCAAGUUUUCACAAUUUUUAGAAGUAAAAAAUAGAACACUUAUAGAAAUCGGAUCGACUAGCCAGCGACGCUGAAUAAAAAGGCAGAAUUACAGAAUCUCAGUUGCAGGUCAAAGAGAAGAUCGAUGUAUGGUGGAUGAUACUGGCAAAAAUAUUGAUGCAUCCAAUGGGAUUUGUCUCAGUCAGUCGCCACUCCGAGGACCGCAGCUCUCCUAUGGUUACUUCUACUGGUACAGCUGACAGACAAUAGAACAUCAGUUUCUUAAGUUAUGUUGAAAGACAUGAUGAUUGUGCAUAAUGAUGAUGGUGGUGAUGAUGAUAGCGAUGAAGAAGAUGAUGAUAGCGAUGAUAACGGUGAUGAUAGCGAUAGUGAUGACGAUGAUGAUGACGACGACGGCCAAUGGCUUGUCCUGGCUCACGUUUGACCAUUAAACACAGAUCGAUGAUGCUUUCCAGUAAACAAGAACGUCUAAAAAAGUCAUGUGGAAAGACAAGAUCAUUGAGAAUAAUGAUGAUGGUAAUGGUGAUGAUGUUGAUGAUGAUAGCGAUUAUGAUGGUGAAGGUAGCGAUGAUUAUGAAAAUGAUGAUGGCCCGUUGCUUGUCCUGGCUCACGUUUACCCAUUUAACACAGAUCUACGAUGUCAACGUCUAAAAGAUGGCGGCAACACAAGAUCUAAAAGACGACCACAUGCUUAUAGAACAGAAGGUUACAGAUUAAGGUGGAAGAAAAUUACACGUCAAAGUAAAAGAAGAUUAUAGAUUAAGGUGGAAGAAAGUGACAAGUCAAAAGCAACAGAAGAUCACAGAUUAAGGUAUGCAAAGGGUGUCAGAUUUUAGCUUUCUGACACAGUGGAUAUAUACGAAAAUAUCGUUCAACACUAUCAGAAUAUUUUCACAAAAUAAAGGCGUGCAAAGGGUACUAGAUGUUGGCUUCUGUCGCAAUGGAGAGGCAUGAAAACACCGUUCAGCAAGAUCAACAUAUUUUCACAAAAUAGAGGUGUGCAAAGGUGCCAGGUGUUGGUUUUUGACACAGUCGAUAUACACGAGAACAUCGUUCAGCAAGAUCAGUAUGUUUUCAUAAAAUAGAGUUACAGAGCAUGGAAGUGAGGCUAGUUUUUAGUGAAUGAAGUACAGAAACAUUCCAAAAUGGCGAAUCUUCCAGACACUGGAACACUUAAAGAACAUGAAAGCAAGGCUAUUUUUCAAUGAAUGAAAAAAAUGACAGCAGACGUGGCACGCUUCGUAGACACCAUCUAAACUGGCGUAAUUUCCACUGACCUCAAUUACUUCUGAAUAAAGAUUACUGGAAUCCUGAAAGCAUGGUUUUACUGAAUGAAACAUAGAAAGCAGACGUCAUUGAUUUAGCAGACACAAAGUGGCGCCUUUUCCAGAGACUUGGAAAACUUCUAAAUAAAGAAUAGCAACUUGAUGUCUUUCCACAGUCACUGAUCUUACGCAGCUAGGAGAAUGGUUUACAGAAUAUGUAAGUGAGUCUAGGCGUCGUGAAUGAAAUGCAGGACGUAUCGGACAUGCGACAACUUUAAAAAAAACGUCGUCCUCCGUGCAGACGUGAAAGAAUAUGGAAGGAAAAACUUAACAAUGUAAUCCACGACAAUAGAAGAAGAAGGAAAGAACAUGGUGGCGAGCGGCACCAAAAACAGGCAUGGUUGAACAGACGACAAGG